rnacentral:tRNA from 1 species
GUUUUUAUAAUUUAAAUUAAAAUAUUGGUCUUGUAAACCAACAAUAUGAAUAUUCAUUAAAAACA